rnacentral:rRNA from 1 species
UACGGGGGGAGCAAGCGUUGUUCGGAUUUACUGGGCGUAAAGGGCGCGUAGGCGGCCAGCGCAAGUCGGUUGUGAAAUCUCCGGGCUUAACUCGGAAAGGUCAACUGAUACUGCGCGGCUAGAGUGCGGAAGGGGCAACUGGAAUUCUCGGUGUAGCGGUGAAAUGCGUAGAUAUCGAGAGGAACACCUGCGGCGAAGGCGGGUUGCUGGGCUGACACUGACGCUGAUGCGCGAAAGCCAGGGGAGCGAACGGG